rnacentral:rRNA from 1 species
UACGGAGGGUGCAAGCGUUAAUCGGAAUUACUGGGCGUAAAGCGUACGUAGGCGGCUUGUUAAGCGAGAUGUGAAAGCCCCGGGCUCAACCUGGGAACCGCAUUUCGAACUGGCAAACUAGAGUCUUGUAGAGGGGGGUAGAAUUCCAGGUGUAGCGGUGAAAUGCGUAGAGAUCUGGAGGAAUACCGGUGGCGAAGGCGGCCCCCUGGACAAAGACUGACGCUCAGGCACGAAAGCGUGGGGAGCAAACAGG